rnacentral:lncRNA from 1 species
AACUAUUAAUUGAGAAGUCAAACUAAAAGUACUGGUCUCCCAAACCACAAAUUUACUACCAUCAAUCAACAAAGAACUACGCCGGCGGCUUCGCUGAAACAUCAUUCCCGCUACACCAACCUCCAUCGAAGUUCCGUAAGUUUAUACUUAACCUGCUUAUCCUACUGAUUUCUGUAAAUGCGUAUAUUACUCUUUUCCUGUCUAUAAAUUGAAAUAUUUGAAAAUGAUAGGGUUCUUAUGAUUUCAAAUCUUCGAUUUCAUAUCUAUGCAUCAGUAUUCGCAAAUUACACUUAACACCCACUGCAUAAUUUUUUUCAGUGUUUAAGGAGAAGAAAAGAACAGUCAGAAUUCACCCUUAGUUUCUGACAGUACAAAAGGUGAAACUCCCCUUCAUAUAUAGAUAAAAUAACAAUAAUAAAAAAAUUAUAUUCACUGUUAAAAUUAACACAUAGAUGAUGUUCUUAGUUUACUCAAGCAAAUAUUGUAUUCGCAAAGAUCACCAAGCUAUGUGUAUUUUUAAAGAGCUGGUAUGAUUUUUUAGAAAACAGUGUUGUCACUCAAUAUAGUUUUUACUGAGUACUGUGAUACACUAUAUAAAAUAAAUAAAUACAGUUCUCUAUAAGAUCAAACUUUUGUUGGAAUGUGAUCUGGAUGGUGAUCACAGAGAUGGCUUGCACAGUAGUCAAUUUUCCACAUCAAGCCUGCAUAGUAGCAUUUUUCCAUGUUUAUCUCAAUAUUGGGAAUGGAAGUUGCAAACUUUCAUAUAGUUUUGUUAGCUCCAAUUGAAAAUAAGUUGUUCAAUGAGUUACAUAUACACGGUGUAGCCACAACAAAUAACAAACUAUUAUUUCAAUAUAAUUUGAUAUACCACCUUCUUUAGUUCAUUUACUUUGCUUCACCAUAUAUCAUCACACAUUAAACCUCUGCUUUAUAGACAUGCACUGUUAUACAUACACUAUUAUUCCACAAUCUCAUUUAUCUAGUAGUGUUCGUCUAUAUACAUGCACUCUUAUAUAUAUAUGCUGUACUUACAUAUUUUUGAAAUUACUAACUCAAUAUCAACAUUUUACUUACAUAUAAAUACAAAUAUAAACAAAUAUCAAUCAUGUAGAAUGAAGAAACGUUCAUGUGUUUUGAAACUGAAUUUCACUCAUCCAGCAGGUGUAAAUUUCGGAGUAUUGGUAAGUAUGUAGCUAAUUUACAAUACUUUAUUUUCUCUGGCUUUUGUUCCACAGUCAUGAAAUGCUAACACACAAUAACAAUGCCAAUUCAACUUAAUGUGCAGGUUUUGCCAAACAAAUUCGUCAACAAACUUCAGCAAGAUUUAACCCCACAAAUGAAGUUCAUACUUGAAAAUUACAUAGAAUGGACUAUAAAUUUACAAACACAUGUUGACUACAUUGGUAGAGUUACCACUUAUAUUGUAAAUGAUAUGGAAUUUGGGC